CACGUAGUUAGCCGUGACUUCCUCGCCGGGUACCAUCACUCAGAAAGCUUUCCACUCUUUCUGCCUUUUGUCCCCGGCAACAGAGCUUUACGAUCCGAAGACCUUCCUCGCUCACGCGGCAUUGCUCGUCCAGGGUUCCCCCCAUUGACGAAAAUUCCCUACUGCUGCCUCCCGCAGGAGUCUGGGCCGUGUCUCAGUCCCAGUGUGGCCGUCCGCCCUCUCAGGCCGGCUAUGCAUCGUCGCCUUGGUGAGCCGUUACCUCUCCAACCAGCUAAUGCACCGCAGGUCCAUCUGCAUGCGGGACUCUUGUCCCCUUUCAAAAAGAGAUGCCUCCUCUUUGCUCAUCCGGUAUCAGUCUUCCGUUUCCAGUAAGUUCCUCCCGCUCAUGCAGGCAGGUUCCCUACGUGUUACUCGACCCGUUCGCCUACUCAUACUCCGAAGAUAUCCGUUCGACUUGCAUCGUAUUAGGCAGUCGCCGCAGCGUUCA
rnacentral:rRNA from 1 species